UACGGAGGGUGCAAACGUUGCUCGGAAUUAUUGGGCGUAAAGCGCACGUAGGCGGACCAGCAAGUCGGAUGUGAAAUCCCUCGGCUUAACCGAGGACGUGCAUCGGAAACUGCUGGCCUUGAGUACGAAAGAGGAUCGCGGAAUUCCCGGUGUAGAGGUGAAAUUCGUAGAUAUCGGGAGGAACACCAGUGGCGAAGGCGGCCAUCUGGGUCGAUACUGACGCUGAGGUGCGAAAGCGUGGGGAGCAAACAGG
rnacentral:rRNA from 1 species